CAUAGCCCUUGAAAAAAUCAAAGGUGUAACCUGCCCAAUGAUUCAUAAAUCAAUAAAAAUAAACAUUUUAUAAAAGAAUUAAAAGGACGCAGUAUCUUGACUGUGAUAAUGUAGCAUAAUCACUCGCCACUUAAUUGGUGGAUAGUAUGAAUGGUUGAACGAAUAUUUCACUGUCUCCUCUAAAAAAUUCAUUAAAUUAAAAUAAUAGUAAAGAUGCUAUUUAAAACUGUAAGACGAAAAGACCCUAUAGAGCUUAACUACAUUUUAUAUUUAAAAGAAAAAUCAAUAAUUUUAAAACUAUAUAAAAAGGUAGUUUAGUUGGGGCGACUAACUUCUAAAUAAAACGAAGUUAAGCAAAGUUAAUACAAAAACUUAUUGUAUAAUAAAUAAAUUUAACAAUUAUAAAAAUAGGCUAUAUUGACCCAUUGAAAUUAAGAAAUAUAUUCAAUGAUUAAUAAAUAAAAGCUACCUUAGGGAUAACAGGAUAAUUUUGUUUUAGAGAUCCUAUCGAAAACAAAGUUUGUCACCUCUAUGUUGAAUUAAGAUACCCCAAUAAUGCAGAAGUUAUUAAAGGUAGGUCUGUUCGACCUUUAAAAUCUUACAUGAU
rnacentral:rRNA from 1 species